rnacentral:sRNA from 1 species
GCUGGGCACGGCAGCACAUGCCUGUAAUCUUGGCAGCUCAGGAGGCUGAGACAGGAGGAUCAUGAGUUCAAAGCCAGCCUCAGCAAGAGCAAGGCACUAAGCAACUCAGUGAGACCCUGUCUCUA